UCGAGAAUUUUUCUCAAUGGGGGAAACCCUGAAGGAGCGACGCCGCGUGGAGGAUGAAGGUCUUCGGAUUGUAAACUCCUGUCAUUGGUGAACAAGGCCAUGCGCAGUAACUGGCGCGUGGAUUGAUAGUAGCCGAAGAGGAAGAGACGGCUAACUCUGUGC
rnacentral:rRNA from 1 species